GAGAUUGGGCUUGACAUCCCACGAACCUGGUGAAAGCCGGGAGUGCCCGCAAGGGAGCGCAGAGACAGGUGGUGCAUGGCUGUCGUCAGCUCGUGUCGUGAGAUGUUGGGUUAAGUCCCGCAACGAGCGCAACCCUCACCCUUUGUUGCCAUCAGGUUAAGCUGGGCACUCUGAGGAGACUGCCGGUGAUAAACCGGAGGAAGGUGGGGAUGACGUCAAGUCCGCAUGGCCUUUAUGUCUGGGGCUACACACGUGCUACAAUGGCCGGCACAAAGCGUCGCGAUCCCGCAAGGGUGAGCUAAUCGCAAAAAGCCGGCCUCAGUUCGGAUUGCAGGCUGCAACCCGCCUGCAUGAAGUCGGAAUCGCUAGUAAUCGCAGAUCAGCAGGCUGCGGUGAAUACGUUCCCGGGCCUUGUACACACCGCCCGUCACAUCACGAAAGCUGGCUGUACUCGAAGUCGCUGAGA
rnacentral:rRNA from 1 species